CCUACGGGUGGCAGCAGUGGGGAAUAUUGGGCAAUGGGCGCAAGCCUGACCCAGCAACGCCGCGUGAAGGAAGAAGUCUUUCGGGUUGUAAACUUCUUUUGUCAGGGAAGAAUAGAAGACGUUACCUGACGAAUAAUCCACGGCUAACUACGUGCCAGCAGCCGCGGUAAUACGUAGGUGGCAAGCGUUUUCCGGAUUUACUGGGUGUAAAGGGCGUGUAGCCGGGUUGACAAGUCAGAUGUGAAAGCCUGCGGCUUAACCGGAGAACUGCAUUUGAAACUGUUGAUAUUGAGUACUGGAGAGGCAGACGGAAUUCCUAGUGUAGCGGUGAAAUGCGUAGAUAUUAGGAGGAACACCAGUGGCGAAGGCGGUCUGCUGGACAGCAACUGACGGUGAGGCGCGAAAGCGUGGGGAGCAAACAGGAUUAGAUACCCGGGUAGUC
rnacentral:rRNA from 1 species